rnacentral:rRNA from 1 species
GAUGAACGCUGGCGGCGUGCCUAAUACAUGCAAGUCGAGCGAACAGAUGAGGAGCUUGCUCCUCUGACGUUAGCGGCGGACGGGUGAGUAACACGUGGAUAACCUACCUAUAAGACUGGGAUAACUACGGGAAACCGGAGCUAAAACCGGAUAAUAUAUUGAACCGCAAGGUUCAAUAGUGAAAGACGGUUUUGCUGUCACUUAUAGAUGGAUCCGCGCCGCAUUAGCUAGUUGGUAAGGUAACGGCUUACCAAGGCAACGAUGCGUAGCCGACCUGAGAGGGUGAUCCGCCACCCUGGAACUGAGACACGGCCCACACUCCUACGGGAGGCAGCAGUAGGGAAUCUUCCGCAAUGGGCGAAAGCCUGACGGAGCAACGCCGCGUGAGUGAUGAAGGUCUUCGGCUCGUAAAACUCUGUUAUUAGGGAAGAACAAAUGUGUAAGUAACUAUGCACGUCUUGACGGUACCUAAUCAGAAAGCCACGGCUAACUACGUG